AUGGAGCAACCUCCCAAUUGCGGAGGGGAGGAGAAAGAGCAGCAAGGCUUAGGUUGCUGCCCUCUGAGGGGCGGAUGUUGGAGGCAGGGUGCUAGGUUUAUAGGGAGCAGCUGUUGCAGCUGGGAAGGAAUUCCGAUUUCACCUUGGAUUCUCGUCUCCACUCCCAGCUGCAAGAAAUCUAAGACCCUCCAACACCAUGCAGCUUGCGGUUUCCGUGGCAGUGGUCCUCAUGGCUUUGUUUGCUGUGACAGGAACUGGCUCUCUGAAAGAUUCCAGCAGGUGAAGGACAAAGUCAAGGCGACGUUUUCCAGCGACAGCUCUGCCUGAAUCCAUCCCUUCCCCACCACCGCACACCUCUGAUUGGAAGGGAGAUCUGCAUCUGACUCUCCACCGCCAGCAGGUUGCAGUGGAGGAACAUCUAUUUCUCUCCAGGUGCAGGAAAAUCUGGGAGGAGGAGGCAGGGCUGCAUGGCCACACCUCUCCUCGGCUCCUCCAUUUUCUAUUUUUUUUUUGUUUGUUUUGUUAUGCAUUUAUUGGAAUCAUUUAUUACCCUCAAAUAAACAGAAGAUUCCUCGCUCUGUAAUCUCAAUUGUUAUUGCAAUGGUUAUCUGUUUAUUGAUUAGGUUUUCUUCCAAAGGUUUCAUCACAGGGCAGGAAGAAUUGUGAUUUGGGUUCCUUCCCCCUUCCCAAGUUCUCAAGCAAUUUCCUGAAGUUGCCCCACCAGCAAAACUAUUUCUUCCUCUCUUCUCCCCUCUCGCAAGGUAUUUCAUGUGCGUUCACAUUUUCACACGGCCAGACUCUGAAGUUGUUUGAGCUUCAAAGGACACACCCCAUCCUCUUCUCUCACAAAACAACUUUGAAAGUCGCAGGAGUGAAUUCGCAAAUAAAAUUGCAUUUGAGACCAUGUGUGCAUGUAUGCUAGAGAAACAGAGUGAGGUUUGAUUAACCGUUUUAAGUUGACAAAAGUACAAAAUCCAGCCUUUCCCCCAGAUCCCUGAAAUAGAGAUGGGAGAGAAAUUUGAUUCAGUUUGCAUUUAAAAGUGAACUUGCCUAAUUCACACUUUGCAAAACAAUACAUAGAACCACAGAGUCAUCUAGCCAACCCCUGUAGAUGCAGGAAUGAACCGAAACACAGCCAUCCCUCAAAAUGCACAUUUCUUUGAACUUUGUUGUGUGUGCAUCCAAGCAAGGGUAGAAGAUACAGCUUUGAUUUCAAUCCGCUUCCUCUGCAGAGGGAAAAAUGCUCUGCUUUCAAUUUUUCUUUCUGUAGGGACUGCAAAGGGUUUCCCAUUAAUCGCAAUCCUAAACCUCUUCUGAAGGUGCACUCCUAAUGCCAAGCAUCUUCAAAGAAGGUUGCUGCAACUGCCAAUCAUCUAGUCAUCACUUACAGCAACUUUCUCCUGAACUCAGGUCCGUGUAUAUGCAAUAUACCUUUAAAGCACAUUUGCUGAGAAUGGUAACCCCGUGAGGAGUAAACUACUGCACCCACAAUUCUUUGAGGCAAAGAAUAUACUUUCAACGUGUUUGAAGUCUAGUAUGUACACAGCCUCAAAUAGGUGUCAUUUCCCUGAUGUCAUUGUGACAUCAGGUGAUGGACAGGUGAAUGGUCCCAACCCACUUUUCCAAGUUGGACUUUGGAGGGUGGUGGGCUUAGAUUGUUGGAUCAAUCCAUCAACCUCUGAUGGAUGAUUUAGAACAGGCAUCCCCAAACUCAGCCCUCCAGAUGUUUUGGGACUACAACUCCCAUCAUCCCUAGCUAACAGGACCAGUGGUCAGGAAUGGUGGGAAUUGUAGUCCCA
ensembl:lncRNA